rnacentral:misc_RNA from 1 species
AAUUUUUGCCUUCCAGACCAGGCUGCAAUUAUGAAGAAUAUACACAUAAUUAUUGCUGUGAUCCAAACAUCACUUACAAACUCUAAUACUUUAUAACAUCACAAGCAGCAAGUUAUGAGACUCCACAGAAAGAUAUGCAAUAAAUUAUGAACACCAUUUAUAUGGCAUAUUUCAGUUCAAGUGAUAACUUGGCUCUCUGUCAAGAUUAAAAAAUGCUCAUUCCCAAUCAUGCUAUUUCAAACGCUAAAGAAUCAAAUCUAAAGAAUUUACCACAGCAUCUCCUCCAACUAUCCUACAAUAACACCAUAUACAUCCUCUGUUGUUUUCAAAGUUGUUGCAAAAGAUUAAUGUCAAUCAUAAAGAUGGAGACCAGUCAUAUUGGACUCUUUGAAAUACUCAGAAAGCUACAAACAAUAGAAGAUCUUCUAAGCUAGAGAUGAUAAGAAAAUCCUUCCAGAAAAAACAAAGAGAAUAUCCAUUGUUUUAUCAUAUAGAACGCAAACGAACGAAUAAUCCUUUAUCAGAUUAUGCCUCCAAUAUUUUGAAUUCCACAAACAAAACAAGCAAGCCAACAUAAAGAGAAUAUCCAUUGGAAGGAUAAACUAAUAUGCCAAAAGAAAAAAGAAUUUUAGGAAAGAAAAAUUCACAUUUUUCCCCAAUCCCUGAUGUUAUAAAAUUGUAAUUUUUGUUGCCAUUCCUCUAGAAGAAACAACAAGCUUAUGGCACAGAAUCAGCAAAUUAGAAAUCUUUAACCAUAAUUGCCACAAAUACCAC